ensembl:lncRNA
UCUGGCAGGAAGUCCCCGUGCCGCGGCUACCUGUGUUUACCCCGGAACCCUCCUGUGACUCCGCGCAGCCUUUGAGCGAGUGAAAGUGCUGCUGGAGUCAAACUGCUUAAAGUAUUAAGGGUGGAUGUUUACGGAGGGAUUACUGCUGCAGACACAUUCGGCUCUGAGCCAUACUUACUUUUAAGAAAACUGUUUAACCUGCAGAAACCGUCAGGCGAUAUAAAGAAACUUCUUUAUUUGAGUCCUUUAAGCCUCUAAGUUUCCAGCUGCUUCUUGAGGAAACGUUAAAGGGACAAAAACAUGAAAACCACGAAGAAGCUUUUAAGAUAUAAAUGAGUCUCUGGCUCCGAGGUGCACGUAUUGUUUUGGGCUGGAAACCUUUAAUGAGAAAUGUUGAGGAUUCCUUCAACUGAGGAACAAACGCUGAAGAACCGCCGCAUUCUCUCCACGUAGCGGUUAGCGCUAACCCCCCGCUGACUUUAGGAAUCAAGAGAACUAUUCAAAGCAGUGUUACCUUCAAGGACCAAACUGUUUGACAGUCUCCUUCUGACCCCCGACACAACAUCAACAAACAGAUAGAAGCUCGACCUCAGCUGAGCGGAGGAGUGUAUCACACCGACUGAUAGAGGGUUUAGAUCCCAGCAUCCUUUCUUUGACCUCAGUACCUCACACGGUGUUUAGAGAGGCCGGUAAACAGAGAGCAGCUUCCCCCGAAUCACUAUCAGAUGUUUAGCUUUGACAUCAAUGCGUCAAACUGUGUUUUUAUCGCAUAGCGCUUGUAUCUGUGCUGCUAAAAUAGACCCGACUGUGUGCUCUGUAAUCCCUCUAUGUGGUGUAAAUAUCGGUCGGAUGGAGAUAAGAGUUUUUACGGGACAUUCAGAAGAGUUCACGGAUGAGCAGAUACCUGAACCCCAAGGAACCACUUUUUAAAUGACUCUUUGAAAACCUGUAUUCAAACAGUGAAUACUUCAUAAACUCGACCAGACGUACUUGAACAUGAGGCGGCAGCGUUUUUUU